UGCCUUUGGAGGAAGAGUCACAAGAUAGUGUGGCAAGGACACGAUGUGUACCAUCAGCUCCUUCUUCCCAGAGGUCCCUGAGCUUGGACAGGCUGCAGCAAGGGGCACUGCCCAAGGCCAGCCACGAGGACAUCAGGGACGCCACAAAAUCCACAGCCUCUCAGGAUGGCCCCUUGAGCAACCUCAGCAACACUAGCAAUAACCAGGACUCACUGAACAACGCCCCCAAGAAGAAGGGCAUCACAAAAUCCAUCCGCUGGUUGCUCACCAGAAAACAAAAGGUCCACCCCAGCCACGCUAGUGACGAGCCUGCAUGACCAGUUUACCCACACUGCUUCUCCCGAUGGUCUUGCAGCACGCUGAGCCCAGCAGUGACUACAUUUGAAACUUCAACCAGAUCUUUCAUCUGUUAAUCCUUGUUAUAUGGACCCUGAGAUAUUGUAUUACAGUGUUUGAUUACUGAAAAAUUCGUGAAUAGGAUAGAGAAACUCAUUUAGCAUUUAAUGUUUCGUACAUUUCUGUAAAUUUGUCACUCCCUAUAGAGAGUUCCUGACUUUCAUGUAUAUCCGGGCUAUAAAUAUCCUUUGGAAUCAAUUGAUGUUCUUAUAUCUCAGUUUAGUCUUUCAAAUGAAUGUACUGUCAUGGCUGUAUGUAUGAAUCCUACGACAAAUACGGUCUUUUAUAACCUGUGCAUGUAUUGUAAUUAUCAUUGUUUAAUUGUUUGUUAAGAAACCCUGACAGAGAAAAGGAUUUUACCAUGUUUGUAAAAUCACCGUGACACAGCCUGCAUUAUCCUUUACGAAUGUCCCUUAGCUCUACAACCAUGGUUUUGAUAUAAGCAGACUUAAUUUGCAGCAA